rnacentral:tRNA from 1 species
GGGGGAUUAGCUCAGUUGGGAGAGCGCUUGAAUGGCAUUCAAGAGGUCAGGGGUUCAAAUCCCCUAUCCUCCA